UGAUAGCAGCAUUAGAGUUGAGCCUAUCUUGAUGAUUAGUUUUGCAGACCAUGGAAAAUUCAGUAGCCAUGGCAAUCACCUCCUCAACUUUAGGGUAAUUAUAGUUUCCAUUGAAGAGAUUGUCAUUUUUAGUCAGCCAGAUAGACCAAAGACGGUAGGGUAGGAGAGUGUCCCUGGUUAACCACUUGUUGAAUGGUUUCCCCCAUAGGGCAC
rnacentral:lncRNA from 1 species